GAUGAACGCUGGCGGCGUGCCUAAUACAUGCAAGUCGAGCGAACGGACGAGAAGCUUGCUUCUCUGAUGUUAGCGGCGGACGGGUGAGUAACACGUGGAUAACCUACCUAUAAGACUGGGAUAACUUCGGGAAACCGGAGCUAAUACCGGAUGAUAUUUUGAACCGCAUGGUUCAAAAGUGAAAGACGGUCUUGCUGUCACUUAUAGAUGGAUCCGCGCUGCAUUAGCUAGUUGGUAAGGUAACGGCUUACCAAGGCAACGAUGCAUAGCCGACCUGAGAGGGUGAUCGGCCACACUGGAACUGAGACACGGUCCAGACUCCUACUGGAGGCAGCAGUAGGGAAUCUUCCGCAAUGGGCGAAAGCCUGACGGAGCAACGCCGCGUGAGUGAUGAAGGUCUUCGGAUCGUAAAACUCUGUUAUUAGGGAAGAACAUAUGUGUAAGUAACUGUGCACAUCUUGACGGUACCUAAUCAGAAAGCCACGGCUAACUACGUG
rnacentral:rRNA from 1 species